CUCUCCAAGUCUUUUUAAUACUACUACAUCUUCCUCCAUUGACUUUGUCUCUGUGCGAAGACUUGUAACGAUUCUCAUCUAUCUCUUAAGAAACCCUUUCAUGCUUGGUUUGAACAAAUAGCAGUUCCUUUGAUAUAAAGUUCACUUCAAUUAUUUCCUGCUUCCAGUCUCCCUUGCAUACUUUUAAGCUGGCGUUGCCGACAUUCAUGAGGUCGUUAGAAACCUGAGGUUCCCUGCAUAUAAGUUAUGAGGCUUUAGCAUAGAUGAUAUCAACUAGAGUUAAGCAACAGUUGGUGGAUGAGAUUGAAAUAAAAGACUUAGGACCAGAUAAGCAAAUACUUGGGAUGAGAAUUUGCAGAAACAUGUGUCUAUCUCAAGAAAAAUACAUACACAAGGUACUAGAUAUGUUUAGUCUUCAUAAUACAAGGACCAGAAAUACUCUAUUAGGAAGCCGCCUUACUAUGUUGAAGAACCAAUCACUAAAGAAAGGAAGUACGUUCCCAAAGUUCCAUAUGCUUCACCAAUAGAAAGUUUGAUGUAUAUAACUAUUUUCAAAUGUGCAAAAAAAUAAAAAGAUCAUGUCUAAAUUCUCUUAUACUUGAUAUUAUCAAUGGCAUCAAGAAGAGAUUCUUCAUCCGCUUCACAGAAGAAAAAAAAACACAUAUGUGAGAGAAACAUCGAGUGUUUGAGCAGUUAUACAUAUAGUGAGGAUAUUUUUAAAGAGAGUUUUUUCUUUUGAGUGCGUUAACCUAAAAUAUAUUAUACAAGUCGUGAUUAUUGUAUCUCAACUCAUUAUAGUGAUAUUGUUUUGCUCCUCUCGGGUCGUGUUUUUUAGUUUAUAAGGGUUUCCACCGAUUUCAUUGUUCUUCCUUCUAUACUCAAAGUUUGACGGUGAAUAUUUCUGUGUGGAUAUUCGCUGAUCCCAACACUGUAAUUAGAUCUGUAAUGUAGACAUCAUGAAUGAUGAUCAUAGUGGCCUCAAAGAUUCAAUUACGUUGAGAGGCAACCAAUUAAAACAUGGGUUUUAAUGACACAUUCGAAUAGAAUUACAAAAUUCAUAACACUUUCCUUUUCUCUUUAUUUAUCUCUCCUUGAGUAUUUAGUUGAGACCCUAGUUUCAGAUAUCAAACUCGCUUUUACGUGGUGUAUUAAUUAAGGCCAUAGGAUGAAUUGGACUAGAGGUGUCACUUUCUCUAGACAUUAAGGAUGUUUUGGUUAAUUAAGUACAACAUUUUAGGGAUUUAGUUAAACUUAUGAGUAUCCGUUAAGGAUGUUAUGAGUUAAAAACUCAUGUAGCUUCUUAGUUAGGGUAUUAGAAGUAGUUGAUUGAAGGAAGAAUUAGCUUAGUUGAGAUAGUAGUUGUUUUCGCAUGUAAAUGAUAGCUGGAAACUAUGAGGAUAAGUUAGUUGAAGGAGGAGGAGAAAAAGAGACCUGGCCUAUGGUAGAAGUUUUCAACCAUGCUUAUAUAUCAUCUAUGCACCAAUCUGUGGGAAUGAGGAAAUAGCAACUUGCCUGGACAUAAUCGCUCGCGGGAGGAGAUGCAGAUGGUCUUGCAGCUAUUUUGGCCAUGGCAAUGAAACGAACAAGUACAAGGAUUCUAAGCCAAGACUGUCUUGAAUUUUUAACUUCAUCAUCUUCUGCAAUGAUCAAUUCACUUCAUCAACAACUUAUCAAGUAGUGACGAUCAAAUUUUUAUAGAUAUUUAGUGAGACAUUUUAGCACACAUACAAAAUUUAAACAAAAACUAUUGAUUCUCGUGAACCCAUAGCUUGUAUUCUAGAUCCACCACUGGUCGUUUGCCAUAGCUUGUGUCCUAAACUUGCACUGUUUCUUGAUUUACUUGUCACUGAAGUGCUUCCUAUAUAACAACUUUAAUUAAUUAUGUUAUGUUACGUUAUUUUUCUUCCUCAGCAUGCAUGCACUUAAUAGUCAGCCGCUUUUUGUAAUAUUCUAACCCUACCUAAACUCGUAUUAUCAUCAGUAAAUGCUUCUGAUCGUCUUUUCUUUUUAAGAUAUGCGGCUACAUAUAGAAAUACCAAUCAUAAAAUCAAGGACAUGUUCUACAUGGUGAAAGCAGAGGCUGAUAUAGCUCUACAAUUACAUAAAUAUAUGUGUACAAAAUUUAUAACAAUUAGUAGAUCAAUGAACCCGUAAUAAUAAAUAGUAUAUAAAAUAGUUUAAUACUAAGAACAUUAAAAAUUAAACCCAUAAAGCUUAAAUAUUACAUCUACUCUAUGUGGAAGCCCAACUAGGGCUCGUUGUUUCCUAGAAAAAUAACAGAAGAUGUUGUGAACAUGGAUAAGUUAGAUAAUGCUUAUGGGCCAAUUAUUUGGACAAAGGUUGGCCAAGCUAUUGGGCCCGGGGCUAAACCGCGAUAUGGCCAAAGAAUUAAACAGCCCAACUGUACAUUUACUUGGGAUCCAGGUUGAGUAGAAAAGUACGUGACAAAGAGAAUAAAAGGGUGUCAUCGGCAGUUUUGGAAAGGAGGCGAAUUAUGCCAACUGCUUAGGCAAAGUCUAUGUUUUCUCACUUCCAAUUAUCUCUAUACUCUACUAUGUUUGUUCUUAGCAAUUUCCUUUCAGUGUUUAGUUUACCUUUGUAAUUCCAAUUUUUAUCAUAGUGAAAUAUACUCUUUAAUCUGUUGGGCGUGGAAUUGUAUAUGUUUAGUGUUGGGUUCGUUACAUUGGUGCUUUCAUCCAUCGGACUCCAACAUCGGAAGUGUUUCUGCCUAGAUUCAGUGGCGACAGCAACCCAGAGCGCUGGAAUUUUUUAGCCGAGUUAUACUUCACAUACCUUGGCUUCUCCGAGAAGGAUUGGCUGCCUCUUCCUUCCUUCUAUCUAGAAGGCGAUGCCCUCACAUGGUUCGAUUGGUUAUUUCGCAACAACCAAUUCUAUGAUUGGAAUCAUUUUAAGGAGAAGUUUCUUCUGCAUUUUCAUAAACAGACCUUUACUGAUCUGCUAUGUAUUUCAAAUUUGUAUGGGCUUGAAUCUACUUUUGAACCAGCCAACAAGACAGAGCAAGCAUUUGAUGUACUCUCUACUAGAGUUUCCCCUAAUACAAUUGCUGAUAGUUCUUCGGUUACAACAAUGGAUUCCAAAAUUCAUCCUCCUUCCUUAUUAGAUUCAUUGACAAACCUUCAAAUCCCUGAAAUACAUGAUCCCACCUCUAGUUUACCUGGUGGAAACAAGUGCGCACCAGCGGAAGACACAGUGCUCGAUGAAAUUCUUAGAGCGAUGAACCUAAUUUGCCUUUCCAUUUUGCAAGCGAUGAAGCACUCCUCGUUUCUCUUGUCGGACGAGAUUGUCUCAUGCCUAAAAAAGUAAAAAGAUUGAACAAUCUGCUUUUACAAAAAUUUUGUCUAUAAACUAUGCGGGAUUUUUCGAGGCAACUGAGAUAAACUUUGAUUCAAAUACUAGCAAAUCAGAGGAGGACCAGCAAGUCUACGCGAUGGUGGAGAAAAAUUCAAGCAACGCUGUAGUUCAGUUAUUUGACAAAUUUGCUCAUAGGAAAGGAACUGAUUUUUUGGAUGAUAUACCAUCGUGGAUAUCCAUUGAAGAAACUGCUGACAUUUUAGAAAGUGACGCGGAUAAAAUGUUUGAUAAAAUUAUUCAGAGAAAAGAAAAUGGUACGACACUUAUGAGGGAGGUUGUUAGCCACACCAAUCAGGUGCUCUCUCAACAAACCAGUAUGACUGGUCUAGUGAGUGUUAUAUCUAAUGCAAAAAUUCAAAUUCUUGUCAUUGAAUUUGAUAUGGGAUAUGGUUUCUAGAAUCAAUUACUUACUGAACAUCCUAAAAUACUUUGCCUUCGACAUGAUGCAUUUGACUUACAUUUUCUGUUUGAUCCUGGCUCUGGUGCUAUUCUUUUAAUCAGUGCGAAGUCACCUCAGGGGAGGUUAGAGGACCUUUUUACACCCUCAAAUCCAAGUAGGCAACAUUUGACAAAACAAAAGGGAGUUUUUAAAUAUAUGUUGUGAUUCCAACAUGAUAUCAUUGUCCAUAUAGCUAAUUUGUUUGACAUUGGGUAGCGACCUAAGGGUAAUAAGUUCUCUCUAGCUUUCUUUGUGAUUAUUCCGAUUGAUAAGUGUGUGUAUGUCAAAGUUAGUUGGUUGGAUAUUGGGAGAGAGAUAUUCGAUGACAUGAUUGACGAGAACAUACUCACUGUGCUCGAGUCUUUUGUACCACCAACUACUGUCUAUAGUAGUUUUCAUGUGAUACUUCUUGGAUCUGUUAAGUCUGUCCAGUCUAAUAAGCUAGCGCUUGCACUUAUUCAUGAUGUUGUGAAUCCCUCAACUAGAAGGGGAGCUAUCAAACGCUUGUAUUUUGCUUAUGUUAAUGCUUCAAAUGAGCAGAUCUGUAGUGACGCCACUCUUACGUUUGGAGAUGAUGUGAUUCUUGUUGUAUUUGUGUCCAGUGCUAGAAUUUUUGAACUGAUUUGUGGUUCCUCCUACGAUGGAAAGUCAGCCCAACAUAUUAUAAUUGCUUGGAUACACCAUAAUGGGUUAAAGUUUGAAAAGCCCCUUGAUUGUUUACUGCCUUUUGACCUUGGGAACCCAUAUUUUGGCUAGCAGGGUAGAGCCAAAUUUACACCUAAGGCUCCAAAGAUCAUCACAACCACUUCGAAUAUGCUACAAGGACGCAAUCUAAAAAAAUGGAUGACUUUGGCAUUAGGACCCCAGGUCAGUAACAAGAUUGUGUUAGUAAAAGAAUGCAAUAUACUCCUUUGUUUUGUCUCACAGGUAGUUUAUAUUGGAGAUCAGCAUGUUAUUGGAGUAGGUACACAUUUAUUCAUGCCUCAAGAUUUAACUGGUACACUAAUAAAGAAAGUGAAAGUAGAGAUGAUUGUGGAACUCACUUGUAGAAUAAUAACUAUUUUGCUAUCCAUUUCAGUGUUUUUGUGGCUUAUGAAGUAUUCAAAGGAAACACAAUAUAUAUAUCUCAUCAUGCCCUUGUCCAAAAUGAAGUCCACUAUGCAGUCACUCUUGUUGUGCCAGACAUGAAUAGAGCUUGGUAUGGUGCUCUUAAUUUUGCUCAAGAGGAAUUGGCAUGUGAUUUCCAUCCAGUGCACUUCAAGCUUAUUGAAGUCCACGUAACUACAACUAGUUUACCAAAACCCGUGAGUCUGAGAUUUCUUAACUCGAACCUUGAGGACAAGGUUCUUAUUGAGGAUAGGAGUAUUGUUGUGAACAUGGAUAAGUUAGAUAAUGCUUAUGGGGCAAUUAUUCGGACAAAGGGUGGCCAAGCUAUUGGGCCUGGGGCUAAACCGCGAUAUCGCCAAGGAAUUAAACAGCCCAACUGUACAUUUACUUGGGAUCCAGGUUGAGUAGGGAAGUACGUGACAAAGAGAAUAAAAGGGUGUCAUCGGCAGUUUUGAAAAGGAGGCGAAUUAUGUCAACUGCUUAGGCAAAGUCUAUGUUUUCCUAUCCCCAAUUCUCUCUAUACUCCUCAUCCCCAAUUCUCUCUAUACUCCUCAUCCCCUUCUACUAUGUUUGUUCUUAGCAAUUUCCUUUCAGUGUUUAGUUUACCUUUGUAAUUUCAGUUUUUAUCAUAGUGAAAUACACUCUUUAAUCUGUUGGGCGUGGAA